CUGUUAGCUUUAGCUGCUAAGAUGCAAUGGAGGUAAAAAAUGGUUGGUUUGUGAAAAUGGUUGUGUGAUUGUGUGUGUGUGUGUGUGUGUGUGUGUGUGUGUGUGUGUGUGUGU